rnacentral:rRNA from 1 species
UGGGGAAUAUUGCACAAUGGGCGCAAGCCUGAUGCAGCCAUGCCGCGUGUAUGAAGAAGGCCUUCGGGUUGUAAAGUACUUUCAGCGGGGAGGAAGGUGUUGUGGUUAAUAACCACAGCAAUUGACGUUACCCGCAGAAGAAGCACCGGCUAACUCCGUGCCAGCAGCCGCGGUAAUACGGAGGGUGCAAGCGUUAAUCGGAAUUACUGGGCGUAAAGCGCACGCAGGCGGUGUGUCAAGUCGGAUGUGAAAUCCCCGGGCUCAACCUGGGAACUGCAUCCGAAACUGGCAGGCUUGAGUCUUGUAGAGGGGGGUAGAAUUCCAGGUGUAGCGGUGAAAUGCGUAGAGAUCUGGAGGAAUACCGGUGGCGAAGGCGGCCUCCUGGACAAAGACUGACGCUCAGGUGCGAAAGCGUGGGGAGCAAACA